rnacentral:tRNA from 1 species
GGGCGGUUAGCUCAGUGGUAGAGCGUCUGCUUUACACGCAGAAUGUCGGGAGUUCGACCCUCUCACCGCCCA